GCCCGCCUAGCUCAAUCGGAUAGAGCGUCAGACUCUUAGGAGCUGCAGAAUUAGCGGGUGAUCUGAAGGCUGCGAGUUCGACCCUCGCGGUGGGCU
rfam:Dichomitus squalens LYAD-421 SS1 unplaced genomic scaffold DICSQscaffold_410, whole genome shotgun sequence.